AAAGGACCCCAAAACCCCCAAAUUGUCCCCAAGGGACCCAAAAAUGUCCCCAGAAUUGAUCCUAGGACCCGAAAAAUGUCCCCAAACGCUCCAAAAUGUCCCCAAGGGCCCCCAAAAAUGUCCCCAAAAGGCCUCAAAAAUGAUCCUCGGACCCCAAAAUGUCCCCAAAGGACCCCAGAGGUGUCCUCAGAGGUGUCCCCAGGUGUGUCCCCAGGUGUCCCCAAGUGUCCCCUCAGAAGUCCCAGAUGUCUCCAAAGGUAUCCCCAGGUGUCCCCAGGUGUGUCCCCAGAUGUCCCCUCAGAAAUCGCAGGUGUCCCCAGGUGCCCCCAGAUGUGUCCCCAGGUGUGUCCCCUCAGAAGUCCCAGGUGUCCCCCGG
rnacentral:lncRNA from 1 species